rnacentral:misc_RNA from 1 species
GCCCCAGCCAGUUGGCAAGAAAGCAAGAAUGCACACAAUUAUAUCUUGAGCUGUCAUGUGAGGCAGUGCAAUUAAAGUGACCAAAAUGGAGACGAAAGUAAGGAAUAUCAUUCCCUUAAUCAGCAGGAACAGAAGCUGGAAGCUUGCACUGAACUUUCGUCUUCCAACAGAUACUGUCUUCAUAACAAACAAUAUUAGAAAGAUCACCAGCCAUGAUAUUCCCUAGACCAGAAAACUUUUAGUGUUCUUCGUGAUCUUUAAGUGAUAUACCAGCCCA